CAGUAGCCGCGGUAAAACGUAGGUGGCAAGCGUUGUCCGGAAUCACUGGGCGUAAAGGGUGCGUAGGCGGGUCUUUAAGUCAGGGGUGAAAUCCUGGAGCUCAACUCCAGAACUGCCUUUGAUACUGAAGAUCUUGAGUUCGGGAGAGGUGAGUGGAACUGCGAGUGUAGAGGUGAAAUUCGUAGAUAUUCGCAAGAACACCAGUGGCGAAGGCGGCUCACUGGCCCGAUACUGACGCUGAGGCACGAAAGCGUGGGGAGCAAACAGGAUUAGAUACCCGAGUAGUCCCUGUCUCUUAUAC
rnacentral:rRNA from 1 species